UUUUUCAAAUAUCUCAUCCAUGUUCUUACAGAAGCCUUUUCUUUCUAUUAUAGGGUCUGACAUUUGUCGGCGUACCGACAGUUUUAUCGGGUAAUUACUGAGUCUAAGACUCUUAUUCUAUACCUCAACAUCUGUAAAUAUCAGACAGUUUACUUUUAAUCAUUUUCGAAUUUUCCAGAAAUUGAAAAAUUUAAAAUAAUUCAAAUCUGUCACUACCGGGCCUAUAGUGAUAUAACUGUUACUAUAGGUGUUCCUCAAAACUUCAUAACUUCAUAAUCGGUUCUCAAGUCAGCUAGUUUGGCCGGCUAUAACUUUCAAACAUCGGAAUCAUAAUUAAAUGAUUUAAACAUUAAACAAUUCCAUUAUCAUUAAUAA
rnacentral:lncRNA from 1 species